rnacentral:tRNA from 1 species
GGGAAUGUGGCUUAGUGGUAGAGUGCUUGUCUAGUAUGCAUGAAGCCGUGGGUUCGAAUCCUCAAUACCG